rnacentral:rRNA from 1 species
GAUGAACGCUAGCGGCAGGCUUAACACAUGCAAGUCGAGGGCAGCAUAAAACAUUGCUUGCAAUGUUUGGUGGCGACCGGCGCAUGGGUGCGUAACGCGUAUGCAACCUACCUAUAACAGGGGGAUAACACUGAGAAAUUGGUACUAAUACCCCGUAACAUCAGAGGAGGCAUCUUCUUUGGUUGAAAGUUCCGGCGGUUAUAGAUGGGCAUGCGUUGUAUUAGCUAGUUGGUGGGGUAAUGGCUCACCAAGGCGACGAUACAUAGGGGGACUGAGAGGUUAACCCCCCCACAUUGGUACUGAGACACGGACCAAACUCCUACGGGAGGCAGCAGUGAGGAAUAUUGGUCAAUGGUCGAGAGACUGAACCAGCCAUGCCGCGUGAAGGUGACGGCCCUAUGGGUCUUAAACUUCUUUUGUAAGGGAGCAAUAAGUCUUACGUGUAGGAUGAUGAGAGUACCUUACGAAUAAGCAUCGGCUAACUCCGUGCCAGCAG